rnacentral:rRNA from 1 species
UACGUAGGGGGGCUAGCGUUGUCCGGAAUCAUUGGGCGUAAAGCGCGUGUAGGCGGCCCGAUAAGUCCGCUGUGAAAGUCCAGGGCUCAACCCUGGGAUGCCGGUGGAUACUGUCGGGCUCGAGUCCGGAAGAGGCGAGUGGAAUUCCUGGUGUAGCGGUGAAAUGCGCAGAUAUCAGGAGGAACACCAGUGGCGAAGGCGGCUCACUGGCCGAUACUGACUGAGGCACGAAGACGUGGGGAGCAAACAGG